rnacentral:rRNA from 1 species
UACGUAGGGUGCAAGCGUUAUCCGGAAUUAUUGGGCGUAAAGAAGCUCGUAGGCGGUUUGUCGCGUCUGCUGUGAAAACUGGAGGCUCAACCUCCAGCCUGCAGUGGGUACCGGGCGGACUUGAGUACUGCAGGGGAGACUGGAAUUCCUGGUGUAGCGGUGAAAUGCGUAGAUAUGUGGAGGAACACCAGUGGCGAAGGCGAACUCUCUGGUCUGUAACUGACGCUGAGGCGCGAAAGCGUGGGGAGCAAACAGG